GCCUACGGGGGGCAGCAGUGAGGAAUAUUGGUCAAUGGGCGCAAGCCUGAACCAGCCAAGUCGCGUGAGGGAUGACGGUCCUAUGGAUUGUAAACCUCUUUUGUCGGGGAGCAAGGCCCGCCACGUGUGGCGGGAAGGAGAGUACCCGAAGAAAAAGCAUCGGCUAACUCCGUGCCAGCAGCCGCGGUAAUACGGAGGAUGCGAGCGUUAUCCGGAUUUAUUGGGUUUAAAGGGUGCGUAGGCGGAAGGUUAAGUCAGCGGUCAAAUGUCGGGGCUCAACACCGGCCCGCCGUUGAAACUGGUCU
rnacentral:rRNA from 1 species